CAUCGAUGGAUUCCCUUAGUAGCGGCGAGCGAAGCGGGAAGAGCUCAAAUUUGAAAGCUGGCGUCCUUCGGGCGUCCGCAUUGUAAUCUAUAGAGGCGUUUUCUGUGCUGGACCGUGUCCAAGUCCCUUGGAACAGGGUAUCAAAGAGGGUGACAAUCCCGUACUUGACACGACAACCAGUGCUCUGUGAUACGUCUUCUACGAGUCGAGUUGUUUGGGAAUGCAGCUCAAAAUGGGUGGUGAAUUCCAUCUAAAGCUAAAUAUUGGCGAGAGACCGAUAGCGAACAAGUACCGUGAGGGAAAGAUGAAAAGCACUUUGGAAAGAGAGUUAAACAGUAUGUGAAAUUGUUGAAAGGGAAACGAUGGAGGUCAGUCGUGUCUGUGGGAUUCAGCCGUCUCUGGCGGUGUACUUCCCACAGACGGGUCAACAUCAGUUUUGGUCGGCGGAUAAAGGCAGGAGGAAGGUGGCACCCCCGGGUGUGUUAUAGCCUCUUGUUGCAUACGCUGGCCGAGACUGAGGAAUGCAGCUCGCCUUUAUGGUCGGGGUUCGCCCACGUUCGAGCUUAGGAUGUAAACAAAAUGGCGGGCAACGACCGACCCGGCAAGAAACGGGCACCAC
rnacentral:rRNA from 1 species